rnacentral:rRNA from 1 species
CCUACGGGAGGCUGCAGUGGGGAAUAUUGGACAAUGGGGGCAACCCUGAUCCAGCCAUGCCGCGUGUGUGAAGAAGGCCCUCGGGUUGUAAAGCACUUUCAGUGAGGAAGAACGCCUGGUGGUUAAUACCCAUCAGGAAAGACAUCACUCACAGAAGAAGCACCGGCUAACUCCGUGCCAGCAGCCGCGGUAAUACGGAGGGUGCGAGCGUUAAUCGGAAUUACUGGGCGUAAAGCGCGCGUAGGUGGCUUGAUAAGCCGGUUGUGAAAGCCCCGGGCUCAACCUGGGAACGGCAUCCGGAACUGUCAAGCUAGAGUGCAGGAGAGGAAGGUAGAAUUCCCGGUGUAGCGGUGAAAUGCGUAGAGAUCGGGAGGAAUACCAGUGGCGAAGGCGGCCUUCUGGACUGACACUGACACUGAGGUGCGAAAGCGUGGGUAGCAAACAGGAUUAGCUACCUUUGUAGUC